rnacentral:sRNA from 1 species
UCUCUCUCCGCCGUCUCCGAUCUUCAC